rnacentral:rRNA from 1 species
UACGUAGGUGGCAAGCGAUACUCGGAAUCACUAGGCGUAAAGCGCAGGUAGGUGGUUGGGUAAGUCUCUUGUGAAAGCUCCUGGCUUAACUGGGAGAGGUCAAGGGAAACUACCCGGCUAGAGUUUGGUAGGGGAUACUGGAAUUCCUGGUGUAGCGGUGAAAUGCGUAGAUAUCAGGAGGAAUACCUAUGGCGAAAGCAGGUAUCUGGGCCAUAACUGACACUGAGCUGCGAAAGCUAGGGGAGCAAACAGG